GGGCGUGUGGCCUAGCGGCUAAGGUGUGUCCCUCCGGAGGACAAGAUCGUGGGUUCGAAUCCCACCUCGCUCG
rfam:Allomyces macrogynus ATCC 38327 genomic scaffold supercont3.20, whole genome shotgun sequence.